GUACCUCUGUGCUUGAUUGUGCACAUGAUCCGGGUGAGCAGAUGUAAACAUCGUGGAUUUGUUUGCUGUUGGUCACGCUCAUUCUUCUUUGAUCUGGAAAACCUUUGGAAAGUAGUUCGGGAUUGAUGGCGGUGUUGCAGGUUUAGUUGAUCGCUGUUCCUCCAGUGUUUGUUAUAUUGUAUUUCCU